GGCGCGCUUAAUGCAUGCAAGUCGAGCGAUGAGGUUUAUUCGGGGGGCACAUCAGCGGCAGACGGGUGAGUAACACGUAGGUACCUACCCCAGAGACAGGAUAACCGUGGAAACGAGGGCUAAUACCGGAUGACCUCCGGAAGGAGGAAAGGCUCAGGCGCUCUGGGAGGGGCUUGCGGNCCAUCAGCUAGUUGGUAGGGUAAAGGCCUACCAAGGCGAAGACGGGUAGGGGGUGUGAGAGCACGGNCCCCCACAAUGGGACUGAAACACGGCCCAUACUCCUACGGGAGGCAGCAGCAGGGAAUAUUGCACAAUAGGCGAAAGCCUGAUGCAGCGACGCCGCGUGAGUGAAGAAGGCCUUCGGGUCGUAAAGCUCUUUUGUAGGGGAAGAGGAAGGACGGUACCCUAAGAAGAAGCGUCGGCUAACUACGUGCCAGCAGCCGCGGUAAGACGUAGGACGCGAGCGUUAUCCGGAAUUACUGGGCGUAAAGGGCCAGCAGGCGGCUUGGUAAGUUGUGCGUGAAAGCCUCGUGCUCAACGCGAGGAAGCCGGACAAUACUGUCAAGCUAGAGGGCAUCAGAGGGGAGUGGAAUUCCCGGAGUAGCGGUAAAAUGCGCAGAUAUCGGGAGGAACACCGAUGGCGAAGGCAGCUCCCUGGGAUGCACCUGACGCUAAGAGGCGAAAGCUAGGGGAGCGAACAGGAUUAGAGACCCUGGUAGUCCUAGCUGUAAACGCUGGGUGCUAGGUGUGGGACGUAGAAGUUCCGUGCCGGAGCAAACGCGAUAAGCACCCCGACUGGGAAUUACGGUCGCAAGGCUAAAACUCAAACGAAUUGACGGGGCCCCGCACAAGCAGCGGAGCGUGUGGUUCAAUUCGAUGCUACAC
rnacentral:rRNA from 1 species